UCCAAUCUGGUAAGCAGGUUAAAGGACUGAAGAGACUUUUGCAUCCAGACUCGUGAUGGGAUCUGAGUGUUAAGUCAUUCAAUAUUGGAUGGGUGAUUGGCUCUUAUGGAAUCAAAGUAUAAAAAAAAAAAAAACAAAGAAUUUGUUCAUUUCUCUUCGGUAACCCCUACCGUGAAUGGUUUAGGGUGUUCCUGAUUGUUUCACAGAAACAUGUUUCUGAAAAAAAUGAUGCUCACCUGAUGACCCAGCCCACCUGAUUUUCGCCACGUUGCAUACACGGUGGGCCACCUUAUGAACAAACUAGAUCUAGCACCUACAUGUCACAUUGGCAUUGCAGGAAGCGUAAAGCAAAGUGGCAACUUAUUUGGGUGAAGGAGCAGGGAAGCAUCUGUUUUAAAAUGAUAACAGGUAUAAACAAAUUGGAAGUGGAGGGGCAUGAGUCCAAAGUGCAAUUUGAAGUGGGAGUGGCACUUGAUUAGAAGGAUCAUGCAACUAUGUAGGGAGACUUUCAAAAUCCUACUCUUGAGAGGAGCAAUAGCAAAAACAUACCAUCCAUACACUGAAAAA